rnacentral:rRNA from 1 species
AAGAUGGGGGGACCAUCCUCCAAGCCUAAAUACUACCUGAUGACCGAUAGCGAAUAGUACUGUGAAGGAAAGGUGAAAAGCACCCCGGGAGGGGAGUGAAAGAGAACCUGAAACCCUGUGCUUACAAGCACUUAGAGCACGUCAAAGUGUGAUAAGGUACCUAUUGUAGAAUGGUCCGGCGAGUUAUUGUAUGCAGCGAGGUUAAGUAGUUCAGCUACGGAGCCGAAGUGAGAGCGAGUGUUAACAGCACGUUCAGUUGCAUGCAAUAGACCCGAAACCGGGUGACCUAUCCAUGUCCAGGAUGAAGUGAGGGUAAAACCUCAUGGAGGUCCGAACCCACUCCCGUUGAAAUGGUAGGGGAUGAGGUGUGGAUAGCGGAGAAAUUCCAAUCGAACCCGGAUAUAGCUGGUUCUCCCCGAAAUAGUUUUAGGACUAGCCUCGUGAUCAAGAUUAUCGGAGGUAAAGCACUGAAUGGCCUAGGGGUCGAGAGAUUACCGAAGCCUAUCAAACUCUGAAUGCCGAAUAAUCAUGCACGGGAGUCAGACUGUGUGAGAUAAGUUUCAUAGUCGAAAGGGAAACAGCCCAGACCUACAGCUAAGGUCCCAAAGUACGUUUAAGUGGAAAACGAUGUGAAAUUGCGUAGACAACCAGGAUGUUGGCUUAGAAGCAGCCAUACAUUAAAAGAGUGCGUAAUAGCUCACUGGUCGAGUGACUUUGCGCGGAAAAUUUAACGGGGCUAAAACGUACACCGAAGCUUAGGCUUGCAACUAUGUUGCAGGGGUAGGGGAGCGUUGAAUGAGGGGUGAAGUCGUAGCGAAAGCGACGGUGGACUUCAUUCAAGUGAGAAUGCCGGAAUGAGUAGCGAGAAUUAUGUGAGAAUCAUAAUGGCCGAAAGCCUAAGGUUUUUGGAGGAAGGUUCGUCCGCUCCAAGUAAGUCGGAAGCUAAGGUGAGGCUGAAAAGCGUAGCCGAUGCACAAACGGUUGAAAUUCCGUUACCACAGAAAGAUUUAAACUAAGGGACACUUUUGAAGAGCUGAUGCCGGGUGUUGGUUACCCCGGUCGUAAGGGAACGAAAUUAAGUAGUGAAGUCAGCGUGGAUGAAGGCGAGAAAAGCUUAGUGUAUAUCUUAUGUGUCCGUACCGCAAACCGACACAGGUAGGUAGGAAGAGAAUUCUAAGGCCAACGGGAGAAGGGUAGUUAAGGAACUCGGCAAAAUGUCCCCGUAACUUCGGAAUAAGGGGAGGUUUCUACGGAAACCCGCAGAGAAUAGUCCCAGGCAACUGUUUAUCAAAAACACAGCUCUAUGCUAAAUCGAAAGAUGACGUAUAUGGGGUGACGCCUGCCCGGUGCCGGAAGGUUAAGAGGAGGAGUGAGAGCCCUGAAUCGAAGCCCCGGUAAACGGCGGCCGUAACUAUAACGGUCCUAAGGUAGCGAAAUUCCUUGUCAGGUAAGUUCUGACCCGCACGAAUGGCGUAAUGAUCUGGGAGCUGUCUCGACUGCCCGCCCGGCGAAAUUGUAGUACCGGUGAAGAUGCCGGUUACCCGCGACUAGACGGAAAGACCCCAUGGAGCUUUACUGUAGCUUAAUAUUGGAUUUCGGCAUUUCAUGUACAGGAUAGGUGGGAGACUAGGAAACAUAGGCGUCAGCUUAUGCGGAGUCGUCCUUGGGAUACCACUCUUGGAGUGCUGAAAUUCUAACCUGCAGCCCUGAAUCGGGUUGGGGGACAUUGUUAGGUGGGCAGUUUGACUGGGGCGGUCGCCUCCAAAAAGGUAACGGAGGCGCUCAAAGGUUGGCUCAGCAUGGAUGGAAACCAUGCCAUAGAGUGCAAACGCAAAAGCCAGCCUGACUGCGAGACUGACGGGUCGAGCAGAAACGAAAGUUGGAGUUAGUGAUCCGGCGGUAUGUGAAUGGAAAUGCCGUCGCUCAACGGAUAAAAGCUACCCUGGGGAUAACAGGCUGAUCUCCCCCAA